ACGAGAAGACCCCAUGGAGCUUUAAACCCAAUUAUAUCUCUAACCACUAUAACCAUUUAACCACUUAGAACUUAUAUACUUGGUUUUAGGUUGGGGCGACCACGGAGCACAACCAAACCUCCACGAUGAACGGAACAACCCCCUUAUCUGAGAAUUACACUUCUAAGAAUUAGCACACUAACAUAAAAUGACCCAUUAUUGAUCAACGAACCAAGUUACCCUGGGGAUAACAGCGCAAUCCAUUUUAAGAGCCCCUAUCGACAAAU
rnacentral:rRNA from 1 species